rnacentral:rRNA from 1 species
AGAAUCAACGCUGGCGGCGUGCCUAACACAUGCAAGUCGCACGAGAAAGGGGAGCAAUCCCUGAGUACAGUGGCGCACGGGUGAGUAACACGUGAAUAAUCUACCUCCGAGUGGGGAAUAACUGAGAGAAAUCUUAGCUAAUACCGCAUAAUACCCACGGGUCAAAGCAGCAAUGCGCUUGGAGAGGAGUUCGCGGCAGAUUAGUUAGUUGGCGGGGUAAUGGCCCACCAAGACGAUGAUCUGUAUCCGGCCUGAGAGGGCGCACGGACACACUGGAACUGAAACACGGUCCAGACUCCUACGGGAGGCAGCAAUGGGGAAUUUUGCGCAAUGGGGGAAACCCUGACGCAGCAACGCCGCGUGGAGGAUGAAGCCCCUUGGGGUGUAAACUCCUUUCGAUCGGGAAGAUAAUGACGGUACCGAUAUAAGAAGCCCCGGCUAACUUCGCGCCAGCAGCCGC